GAUGAACGCUAGCGGCAGGCUUAAUACAUGCAAGUCGUGGGGCAGCAUGAAUGUAGCAAUACAUUUGAUGGCGACCGGCAAACGGGUGCGGAACACGUACACAACCUUCCUAUAAGUGGGGAAUAGCCCAGAGAAAUUUGGAUUAAUACCCCGUAACAUAACGAUGUGGCAUCACAUUGUUAUUAUAGCUUCGGCGCUUAUUGAUGGGUGUGCGGCUGAUUAGAUAGUUGGCGGGGUAACGGCCCACCAAGUCUACGAUCAGUAGCUGAUGUGAGAGCAUGAUCAGCCACACGGGCACUGAGACACGGGCCCGACUCCUACGGGAGGCAGCAGUAAGGAAUAUUGGUCAAUGGACGCAAGUCUGAACCAGCCAUGCCGCGUGAAGGAUUAAGGUCCUCUGGAUUGUAAACUUCUUUUAUCUGGGACGAAAAAAGGCUUUUCUAAGUCACUUGACGGUACCAGAUGAAUAAGCACCGGCUAACUCCGUGCCAGCAGCCGCCGUAACAC
rnacentral:rRNA from 1 species